rnacentral:rRNA from 1 species
CCUACGGGGUGCUGCAGUGGGGAAUAUUGGACAAUGGGCGAAAGCCUGAUCCAGCCAUGCCGCGUGUGUGAAGAAGGCCUUCGGGUUGUAAAGCACUUUCAGUGGGGAAGAAAGCCUUGGGGCUAAUACCCUCGAGGAAGGACAUCACCCACAGAAGAAGCACCGGCUAACUCCGUGCCAGCAGCCGCGGUAAUACGGAGGGUGCGAGCGUUAAUCGGAAUUACUGGGCGUAAAGCGCGCGUAGGCGGUCUGAUAAGCCGGUUGGGAAAGCCCCGGGCUCAACCUGGGAACGGCAUCCGGAACUGUCAGGCUAGAGUGCAGGAGAGGAAGGUAGAAUUCCCGGUGUAGCGGUGAAAUGCGUAGAGAUCGGGAGGAAUACCAGUGGCGAAGGCGGUCUUCUGGACUGACACUGACGCUGAGGUGCGAAAGCGUGGGUAGCAAACAGGAUUAGAUACCCCAGUAGUC